rnacentral:rRNA from 1 species
UAGGACGGUACAACGAGUCGCAAGACCGCGAGGUUUAGCAAAUCUCUUAAAGCCGUUCUCAGUUCGGAUUGUAGGCUGCAACUCGCCUACAUGAAGUCGGAAUCGCUAGUAAUCGCGGAUCAGCAUGCCGCGGUGAAUACGUUCCCGGGCCUUGUACACACCGCCCGUCACACCAUGAGAGUUUGUAACACCCAAAGCCGGUGGGGUAACCUUUUGGAGCCAGCCGUCUAAGGUGGGACAGAUGAUUAGGGUGAAGUCGUAACAAGGUACC